GGCAGUGACAGUGGCUUGUCACCUCUUGACUAUCAGCAGCACUCUCACUGACACGAUCACAUCUCAAUCCAAAUACAGGCACUUUUAGGCUUUAUUGGGUCUUUAUUUUUAUGUUCUGUUUUGUGUCGCAGAAAUUUAAAAAAAAAAAUUUUGUGUGUGUGUGCAUUAGACAUGUUCAAUGCUCUCUACAACUGAUCAACAGAGAGCAUUUGUGCUUUUCUGCUUGGCUGAGUGCAGUCUGCAGAUGCCUGCUUUAUCCCUGGCAUAUGCUAAAAUUCUGCCCAACAUUAGACAGCGUGCAUGACCAAAUUCCAGCUUUACUUAGACAGUGGCAGGCUUCUUCCAAACAGGAUGCAGACACGGAGAUAGCGACACACUACAUCAACAGAAUGGCCGAUGGCAAAAGAGAAGACAGAAGGUCAAAUGGAUCUGGAACAACCUGAGGGACUGUUUCGAGGAAUGGAGGACAAGAUGAGAGAAAGCUCCAAGAUGAGAGCGUCUCAGCAAGAAACACAGAGCAACGUUGAACUCUUUAUGCCCAUAUAGCCACUUCCUGUUAGUUUGCUGAACGAUCUGACUGAUCUGAACAGACAAGUGGAACUUGAAGAAAAAUCCCAGCAUUUAUCAGAAGGAAUGGAGUCUGUUAAAGUUUUGAUGCCUUCAGACAGAAUUAAAGGGACAGUUCAC